GAUGAACGCUGGCGGCGUGCCUAAUACAUGCAAGUCGAGCGAACAGACGAUGAGCUUGCUCCUCUGACGUUAGCGGCGGACGGGUGAGUAACACGUGGAUAACCUACUUAUAUUACUGGGAUAACUUCGGGAAACCGGAUAUAAUAAUGGAUAAUAUAUUCAACCGCAUGGUUCAAUAGUGAAAGACGGUUUUGCUGUCACUAUUAGAUGGAUCCGCGCUGCAUUGGUGAGUUGGUAAGGUAACGGCCUACCAAGGCGACGAUGCGUAGCCGACCUGAUGGGGUGAUCGGCCACACUGGAACUGAGACACGGUCCAGACUCCUACGGGGGGCAGCAGGAGGGAAAUUUCCGCAAUGGGCGAAAGCCUGGCGGAGCAAAGCCGGGGGAGGUAUGAAGGUCUUCGGAUCGGAAAACUCUGUUAUUAGGGAAGAAAAAAUGUGUAAGUAACUAUGCACGGCUUGACGGUAACUAAUCGGAAAGGCACGGCUAACUACGUG
rnacentral:rRNA from 1 species